rnacentral:rRNA from 1 species
CGGGAGGAGCAGUGGGCUAUGCGCAAUGGGCGAAAGCCUGACGCAGCGACGCCUCGUGAGGGAUGAAGGUCUUCGGAUCGUAAACCUCUGUCAAGAGGGAAGAAACCCUUGGGUUCGAAUAGGGCCCUUGGCUGACGGUACCUCAAAAGGAAGCACCGGCUAACUCCGUGCCAGCAGCCGCGGUAAUACGGAGGGUGCAAUGCGUUAAUCGGAAUCACUGGGCGUAAAGCGCUCGUAGGCUGUUUGGUAAGUCAGACGUGAAAGCCCUCGGCUCAACCGGGGAACUGCGUUUGAUACUGCCAGACUUGAGUGUCGGAGAGGGUGGCGGAAUUCCGGGUGUAGGAGUGAAAUCCGUAGAUAUCCGGAGGAACACCAGUGGCGAAGGCGGCCACCUGGACGACAACUGACGCUGAGGAGCGAAAGCGUGGGGAGCAAACAGGAAUUAGAUACCCUGGUAGUUCCACGCGGUAAACGAUGGAUGCUGGGUGUCGGGGGUUUACCUUCGGUGCCGCAGUUAACGCGUUAAGCAUCCCGCCUGGGGAGUACGGUCGCAAGGCUGAAACUCAAAGGAAAUUGACCGGGGGGCCCGCACAAGCGGUGGAGUAUGUGGGUUUAAUUCGAUGCAACGCGAAAGAACCUUACCUAGGCUUGACAUCCCUACGACCUCUUGGAAACUUGAGGGUGCCCUUCGGGGAGCGUAGAGACAGGUGCUGCAUGGCUGUCGUCAGCUCGUGCCGUGAGGUGUUGGGUUAAGUCCCGCAACGAGCGCAACCCCUAUCACUAGUUGCCAUCAGGUAAUGGCUGGGAACUCUAGUGAAACUGCCGUCGCAAGACGUGGAGGAAGGAGGGGAUGAUAGUCAAGUCAUCAUGGCCUUUAUGCCCUGGGCUACACACGUGCUACAAUGGGCGCUACAAAGGGUCGCAACAUGGCGACAUGAAGCUAAUCCCAAAAAAGGCGCUCUCAGGUUCGGAUCGCAGUCUGCAACUCGACUGCGUGAAGCUGGAAUCGCUAGUAAUC